rnacentral:rRNA from 1 species
UUAUAAGAGACAGCAGCAGCCACGGUAAUACGAAGGGUGCAAGCGUUACUCGGAAUUACUGGGCGUAAAGCGUGCGUAGGUGGUGGUUUAAGUCCGUUGUGAAAGCCCUGGGCUCAACCUGGGAAUUGCAGUGGAUACUGGGUCACUAGAGUGUGGUAGAGGAUAGUGGAAUUUCCGGUGUAGCAGUGAAAUGCGUAGAGAUCGGGAGGAACAUCCAUGGCGAAGGCAGCUACCUGGACCAACACUGACACUGAGGCACGAAAGCGUGGGGAGCAAACAGGAUUAGAUACCCCGGUAGUCCCUGUCUCUUAUAC